rnacentral:rRNA from 1 species
UACGGGGGGAGCAAGCGUUGUUCGGAAUUACUGGGCGUAAAGGGCGCGUAGGCGGUUCUUUAAGUCAGGCGUGAAAGCCCUGGGCUCAACCUGGGAGUGGCGCUUGAUACUGGAGGACUAGAGAGUGGGAGAGGUUGGUGGAAUUCCCAGUGUAGAGGUGAAAUUCGUAGAUAUUGGGAAGAACACCGGUGGCGAAGGCGGCCAACUGGACCAUUUCUGACGCUGAGGCGCGAAAGCGUGGGGAGCAAACAGG